ACAUAAUUGUUCGCAAAUUAUCCCAAGCUUAUUUAAAAACACUCAAACCAUGCAGCCGUCAAAGUAUGUUUGGGAAAUUAAAAAAAAAGCACGGUACACAUGGAAGAAUGAGACAUCUUCUACACAUAAUACUGUGACGUUUCUGUACGGAGAUGUACAAGUACCUAUCGAAAAGUAAGACACACAGAUUGCAGGCAAACCAAAUGACGUUUAUGCGGCAAACCUUUCAUGUCUACUACCAUCCAUGCAACUCUAUGAAGACUAUAUGUAGUCAUGAAGCUACUAUGUACACCAUUUAUACAAUUACUUUCCAUAAUUUUAAAAUUA